AUACCAGGGUAGGAGUGGCUUGUCUGUGGGAGAGAAGUACAUUCUGGUGUCAGACACACAAGUGAGUCAGUUGAGAAGAGACACUGCUGAUACAGAUUUUCUGUUUGUUGUUGAUUAUGGGGCCCAUCAUGCGCAUCAUUACAAUUGGCCUUUCCAUUUUUUCGACACUAUAUAAAGAAUCUCUUUCAGUCAGAUUUAAGGUCACAUCAGUCACAUCAGUUGUUGCUACAUUGGGGUCAGAUGUGGUGUUACCUUGUCGUCUGACCCCUGAGAUGAACGCAGAGAAGAUGGAAAUCCGUUGGUUUAAGCCAAUGUACCAGCCGUAUGUUCAUCUUUAUAUUAAUGGGAAAGACGAUUACUCGAUCCAAAUGCCUCAAUUUACUAACAGAACAGAACUGAUAAAAGAGAACAUCACUAGAGGAGUUUUCCCUUUAAAGAUCCAUAAAGUCACAGCUCAGGAUUCUGGGGAAUAUUAUUGUUUUGUUGAGUCCAGUGACCAUCAUGGCAGAACAAUAGUACAACUAAAUGUUACUGCUGUUGGAACUCGCCCAAACAUUUCCAAAAUUAACAAUGACACGCUCCUUUGUGAAUCCUGUGACUGGCUGCCAAAACCUCAUUUGACAUGGACAGAUAACGAGGGAAAGCAAAUAAUCCCAUCAAUGGAAAGAUUGUACAGAGAUGAGAAGAGUUUGUACUGUAUCACUAGUAUUAUCAAUCUACCAUCUACUUCAAAUAUCACUUGCACUGUCUCUAAUUCUCUAAAUCAGAACAAUGAAUUCUCCAUGCAGAUCAGAGAAAAAGGACAGCCACAAACCUGCAGGGAUCUGUACAGUCGCUACAUUUUAUUCUGGUCUUGUCUGGCUGUUACACUUGGAUGUAUUUGCCUUCUCUUAAAGAGUCAUAGAGAACAUCAGAAAGAAUAUGGAAAAAUAUUAGGAGAACUUCAGAAAAAAAAUGGAGAACUUCAGAAAGUAUAUGGUGAGUACUUGAAUUUUUUCAAGAGAAUAAAUCACAGGGCAUUUGAUACUGGGGCCCAUAGCAGGUUAACAGUCCAAAAUAUAUAUCCCAACACCAAUUUUGAAAUUAUAAUUGGUAUAAAUAAUUUCUAUCCGCUUGAUCCCCUGUAUCAUCAAAAAUUUCAGCGGUUUAAGAUCCGCUCACCGUUGGUGGUAAUUGGCCCGGGUGCACCUGCCCCGAGCCCUGCGUUUAAUACACAGUCUAUCCCACGUUCCUUCCAACAGUUGUUUGUAUUCAUAGAUAAAUAUGCAUAAGGAUCAGCUUACCCUCUCCAUGGGGUGACCCCGGUGCUGCCACCCCGAGUCUGUCGCUAAGGGAGACGUUUUCAACUAUUCACAUCCAAGUCGUCGCGGCGCACUCCAAAGUCAAAGGAUCGCUCAUAAGUUGUUGGUUAAAAAUUCAUCCUUUAUUGGUUACAUCAGUUUAAAAAAGAAAUGCUAACACAUGGUCUGACGCGUUUCGUAACUAUGUACUUCAUCAGAGACCUCAAGAGACCUUGAAUUAUUUCAAGAGAAUAAAUCACAGGGCAUUUGAUACUGGGGCCCAUAGCAGAUUAAUGUCACAUUCCCCAGAUGACGCCAAGUCGGCAUUUAGGUGUUACCUGUCCUUAUAAGUGACCUUAUUCCUUAACUUUUCAGUUAGCUACCUUAUAAGUAAAUGUAAGGGUUUAAGAAGGAAGCGCAUUCCUAUUUAUUCCUAUUUUACUUCCUUCAGCUCAUCUCAUUGGCCUCGAAAAUCUUUUUUUUUUCUCACUACAGAUGCUUUUCGGGGAUUACUGCGAAAUCAAUGCCAUAAUAUUUGGACAGAGAAAG